UACGUAGGGGGCAAGCGUUGUCCGGAUUUAUUGGGCGUAAAGCGCGUGUAGGCGGCCAGGUAGGUCGGUUGUGAAAAUUGGAGGCUCAACCUCCAGACGUCGAUCGAAACCAUCUGGCUAGAGUCCGGAAGAGGAGAAUGGAAUUCCUGGUGUAGCGGUGAAAUGCGCAGAUAUCAGGAGAACACCGAUGGCGAAGGCAGGUCUCUGGGACG
rnacentral:rRNA from 1 species